UCUUUUCAGAGCAAAAAACCCCGUGAAAUAUCACAAAAUCAACCCCCAAUAUUUAAAGGCAAAAAAAAAACAUCAACAAAUUAGUGGAUGCAAUCAGAAGCUGAGCAAAUAGCAGCAGUUUUAAAUAAUAUAAAGGUUUAAAAAAAAAAUAUUGUUUGACUUCACAAAUAAACAACAACCAUGCCCCGUCAUCAUCGUAGAAGUCUAUCUCCAUUGGAAGAACAGAACCGUAGCCACCACCGACGCAACAUUCGCCGUAAUAGACAGUCUCCUGACUGCCGUUUAUGUAACAAGGACCACUCGCUCCGAAAGUGCAUCAGAUUUAAGAAAAUGAAUGUUGCAGAGAAAGAAAAGGUUGUCAAACGAUAUCGAUACUGCGAGAACUGUUUAGCACACUCUCAUCUUGUCAAUCGGUGCCGCAGCACAGAUCGCUGCCGCCAAUGUGGUAGUAGGCAUCACACUUUAUUGCACCGCCAUGAACGUUUACGUGAAAACCAGACUGCUAUUGUUGGCCAAUCAUGCUCAAGUCUGAGUACUGUCACUCUGCUGCCUACUAUUGUAAUAAAACUUGAGCUUGGAGAAGAAUGGGGCAACGUAAGAGGUCUUCUUAACCCUUGCACAGAGGUGAGUUCUAUUGCAGAGUUUCUCAUAGAACGAUACAAUAUUCCUGUGGAAAAAAUUGGUUCUGAUUUCUGGGCCAAGGUAAAGAUUCGACCACGCUUUGAAGAAACACCUAUAUGUGCUAUUACCGUGAAAGUUGACAAGAAUCUCCCACGUAAACAACCAAAAGAGAAAAUCGAUGAAAGAGUUGCUUCUCUCUACACAAACCUUCGUCUCGCAGAUCCCAACUUCUACAAAAACGAAGAUAUCAACAUCAUCCUUGGCGCCGAUAUAUAUCCACGGAUUAUCAAAUCCAGCCUACAGCCUGAAUCUAUUGGCACUCCCAUGGCACAAGACACCGUACUAGGCUGGAUAAUUAUUGGCCGAUUCGGGGUUUGAUUUUUGUACUGCUGUAUUUAUCUAACAUCUUAUAUUUUAUUAUAUUUGUUAUUCAACUAAUUUAAAUUUAUUUAAUUAGCUUGGCUAUCUCUGAAUUUUGUAAUUAUAUUUUAACUGGAAAAAUUAGAAAUUGAAUUUGUUAAUAUUUAUCAUACUUUUGAAUUAAACAAAUGAAUUUUA